GACGAACGCUGGCGGCGUGCUUAACACAUGCAAGUCGAACGGAAAGGCCCUGCUUUUGUGGGGUGCUCGAGUGGCGAACGGGUGAGUAACACGUGAGUAACCUGCCCUUGACUUUGGGAUAACUUCAGGAAACUGGGGCUAAUACCGGAUAGGAGCUCCUGCUGCAUGGUGGGGGUUGGAAAGUUUCGGCGGUUGGGGAUGGACUCGCGGCUUAUCAGCUUGUUGGUGGGGUAGUGGCUUACCAAGGCUUUGACGGGUAGCCGGCCUGAGAGGGUGACCGGCCACAGUGGGACUGGGAUACGGCCCAGACUCCUACGGGCGGCAGCAGUGGGGACUAUUGCACAAUGGGCGGAAGCCUGAUGCAGCAACGCCGCGUGCGGGAUGACGGCCUUCGGGGUGUAAACCGCUUUCGCCUGUGACGAAGCGUGAGUGACGGUACUGGGUAAAGAAGCACCGGCUAACUACGU
rnacentral:rRNA from 1 species